rnacentral:lncRNA from 1 species
UUAGAUAUUGCUAAACUGAAAAAACAAGUUUUUGAGGCAUCUCAGGCUCAUCUCACCCUAUUGCCUGGAGCUGAUAUUCUUGCUGGAGCCUCUGAUGGCCUUUCUAAUACCAAUCCUUUAAAGUGGAUUGAAACCAUAGGUGGAUCAACAAUUGCAAAUUUUAUUUUGGUUUGUGUCUGUUUAUGUUGCUUGUUUUUAGUCUACAGAUGCAGAUGGUGCCUUGGGAGAGAAACCAGACACCAUGAAUGAGCCAUAAUAGCAAUGGCAGUUAUUAAUAAAAAAAAAUCAAUAGAGGCAAAAAAGGGGAACAUGUGGGAAAGUGUUUCUGGGGUGCCAGUUGAGUUGGUCUCCCCUGUGUGAGACACCCAUGGGAAGCCAUGGGCAGCCUCUGGGGAGAAAAGUCUCCUUAUUGCUUUCAUGUCUUUAUGCCCCAAGAGCAUAACCACUCAGCAGCAUUCCACAGGUUGCUCAGGGAGACAACACUCCCUUGAAGCAGUGGAGUAUAAUCAAACAUCUUGGCUCCUCCUUAAACCCGCUCCCACCCAUUUCAGUCCUGAUAAGCUAAAGAUCUUAAGUAGUUUAGACACACGCCUUUGCUCAAGGAAAUUCACAGAAACCGCCACUGCUACACAUCUUAUGGAAUGACUCACGAGUUCUCCUUCACUGAUUAAUCCUUUUCCUCAUCCCUUCCUCCCCCUCCCAUCUGCCCUAAGAACAAAGAGCUUGUAAACCAGUAAAUUUGGCAGAGCUCAAGAGCUCUGGGCCGUGAGCAAGCCUCCGAUAUUCUGGUCCCCUGAACCCGCCUUUUAAAUGCUUAUUCUGUCUCUUUCUAACUCCUAUGUCUCCACCAGACUCAGGGUACCCACUGGGUGGUGUGGGGCUGGUUUCCCUAACAUUCCCCACCAAAUAAAGCAGCUCCAACCUUCUAGAUGGUUGCUCAGCUCAGAAGUCUUAGAGAAAUUCUGAUGCCUCUCCUCACAUUUGCUCUGUCGGCAAAUCCUGGUGUCACAAGAGGGCUCAGGAGGGUUUCUGGAUGCCAACGAGACCCCAGCCACAGCCGGUCCCCAGAUUCUUGACAUCAUCACAAGAAAGAAUUCACAGGGUUGCUUCAGCGUCCUCACAACAGGAUGGCUGACUUCCCCAAGAGAGCAGCUCAAGAGAGAGCAAGGAGAAAGACACAACAUCUUUAAUGAUCUAUGCUUGGAAGCUAUAUGUUGCCACUUUUGCAAUAUCCUACAGAUCGCUUAGCUCCAUCCAACAUGGAAAGGGAUCAGACACGGGCAUCAUUGCCAGAUGAUAAUCCCUGAUGGUCAUCUUGGAUGCUGGCCACCACAGUUACAUUUGAGGCUGCUCUCCACCCCCAAAUGUACUGCCAGCUGCUGUUUAUUUAGGAAACGAAAGCUAAUUUUAGUGUUAGCUUUAGCCAACCCUAAUCUCGAAGCAAAUCAGCUGCAAGUACAAGGGGCUUCAGAGUCAAACAGAAAUACCUUUGGACUUACCUGCUGGACAAAGUUAUCUCAAUACUCCCCAGCACCGCUCUACUAUGGAUCUAAAAAUAAUGAUUUUCCCUGCUGAAUUUUGAAAAUAUCAUGUUCACUGUAUUUGCUUUAUCCUCCACCUGGGAUGCUCUUCCUUCAGUUCUCUGCUCAAAUGUCAUCGUAUCAGUGACAGAUGCUGAACUCCUUAUGUAAACUAGCACCCCACUCCACCUUCUUGGGUGGAAAAUCAACCACUUUGAUUUUCUUCAUAGCACCAAUUGCCGUCUGACAAAUGACAUAUUUACUUGGCAAGCAGUUUAUUGUAUCUCCUCACCCCUUUCAUAGAUUACAAGCCCCAUGAGGGCAAUGACCUGUGUAUUUUGGUCACUGCUGUAUCCCCAGAGGCCCCUGAAACAGUGGAAUACCUCAAUUUCUAUUUGCAUAAUGUCAUCCAGGGCUGGCCAAGGUGGAAGGCCUGGGAUAUGAAACCUUUAAACAAACUGCUGGUGGCAAUGUUGCUUGAAAUCAACUUUCUGAAAAGUAAUUUGACUUGAUACUCUCUUUAAAAAAAAAUUA